AGGAGCCUGGCAAAGACCAGGAUAUCAGCAGCAGGGGGCAGAGCCAGAGGUGGCCUGCAGGCAUCUUUCUUUCCCAGUUUUCAUGACAUGAUCCCAAAUCUACUUAGCAGUGGCCAUUUCUUAUUUUCAUAUCUAUUUUUUCAGAAAUGUAUAAGGACUAAGGGUGUCAGAGUAAUCAGCAUAACAACCAAACGAGCUGAAGUCUGCAAAAUUCAACUCCCCCUGCCUAGAUAUUAAAUUUGCCUACAGGAAAAAAGCCCACCAGGUACUUAAAAAAAUUAAUGAAAUGAUAUUAUGCUGCAUUUAAAAGAACAUGCCUAUGAAGCAGAAUACCAUGUAGUGCUACCAUUUAUUUGAAAGUCAUUUUGACAACACUGUGCAUACUUAGAGUUUUGGGUUAAAGAUAAUUGUGUAUAGAAAACUAUAGAAAACAUUGCUUUGAAAGUGAAGCCAGUAUCAAUGUUAUCCUAAUCUCUUUGCCAAAAAAAAAGAAAACUAUCUCUUAAUUACACUACAAUCAAAUCGAGUCUUCAACUCUUAUAUGCUCAUUCAGAAUUUUAAAAUCUCUCUCACGGGAGGAAAUGUAAAAGGAAAGUUUUCAAGACCUUUUUGUACCUUAAUAUCCUUUUCAACUUCUAAUGUAAAACGUAUUUGUCCUGAUACAAUGCUGUGAAAUAAAGACCACAUCAGGAAUGUAAUGAAGUUUAAAAGUAGCUCCUUUUUUGCACUGAGAACAAUUUUAUUGAUUCAAAUUAGAAACUUCUAACUGGGGGCAGGAGAAAAAGGAGGAAGAAGAGAGAAGCAAGCAAUCUGUGACCUAGCGCUGAUUAUUGGCUGACCUCUAAUAAAGGAAGAAGAUUCGGAUUUCUGGUGCCAAAACGAAAGUAAUAAAGUGGAAAAUGAAUUUUUGCAAUCCCCACACAUCACUGAAUUUAUCUAUUGUCUUCUAGGCAAAGUAAUCCUACAAAAGGAAGUUCUAUUUCAAGGAUUUUCACUCCUUUUCCAUCUCUGAACUGAAAAGAAACAAGGGGCAGUUUGCAGCUUCAAAAUAUUUAAAUAACCUAUAACUCAUAUCAGUGUUCCAAUUAAAAAUUACCUAAUCUGUUCUUUGCUCCUUGCAAGUUUCAUUGAAGCAGUGCCCUUAACAGGCAAAGAAGGUACGUGGUAAAAUUCAGCUCCCGGUAGAGUGUCCAUCAACCAGCUCUGGCGGGAUGUGCUGUCAGGAAUGGAGCGCCCCCUGGAGGCCAGUCAUCCAGCCAGUCUGUUCCCAUCGAUUAGAGCAGAGGCUCUCAAGUAUGGUCCCUGGACCAACAGCAUCAACACCACCUGAGAACUGUUAAGAAAUCCAAGUUCUGGGGCCCCACCAUAGGCCAACUGAAACAGAAACCUCUGUGGUGGGGCCCAGCAAACUACAGGCCUUGCAGGUGAUGCUGAUGCCUGCUAAUUUUGAGAACCACUGUAUUAGAACACCUCACUCCCCAAAGAUGUCAGAAUCAAGGUGUCAUUGUGUUAAGAAAUUAUACAGGAAUGAACAGAGCUGAAAUGUCUUUCCUACAUAGAGAAAGAACCAAGAGUUGAUGUUUGUAUCAAGUAAACACAUUGAGUUACAAUUUAGAAAAUGUUGAUACCAAUGUAUGUUUUAAAUACAUUAAAACAGCUUUUAGCAACCCUUUAAUUAUUCCCAAUAUAUAGUUUGAAUGAAUUACUGUGUCCCUUGAUGAAAAGGAUAAAAAAGGAAUGUAAGUGACUCUACCACAAAUACAGGAAAAGUUUGGAUAACCUCAGUACCUACCACUACCAACAACAAGACCAAAGAGUCUACCCCCACUGUUUAUGAUCCCUCCCUCUCUUCUCAGGACUGCCAUCUGACUCAAACCAGUUCAUGGCUAUCUGACUACAAAACGAGGCUGAACUUGAUCACAAUCAAGGUGAAAAUGAAAAUAACAAUCAAGAAAAACACUUCCCUCAUUACUCAUGAUUUUUUUUAAUUUAACAUAUAUAGUACAUGUAAACAACUGGCAUAAAAUUCAUAAAAAUACAAUACUCCUAUGCAAUAUCACUUUAUUCCUGAUACAUACUUUCUUUCCUCAUACUAAAGCAAAAAUAUUUGUAAAUGCUAA
rnacentral:lncRNA from 1 species